rnacentral:rRNA from 1 species
GUGGUUUGUCGCGUUGUUCGUGAAAUCUCACAACUCAAUUGUGAGCGUGCGGGCGAUACGGGCAGACUGGAGUACUGCAGGGGAGACUGGAAUUCCUGGUGUAGCGGUGGAAUGCGCAGAUAUCAGGAGGAACACCGGUGGCGAAGGCGGGUCUCUGGGCAGUAACUGACGCUGAGGAGCGAAAGCGUGGGGAGCGAACAGGAUUAGAUACCCUGGUAGUCCACGCCGUAAACGGUGGGUACUAGGUGUGGGUUUCCUUCCUUGGGAUCCGUGCCGUAGCUAACGCAUUAAGUACCCCGCCUGGGGAGUACGGCCGCAAGGCUAAAACUCAAAGAAAUUGACGGGGGCCCGCACAAGCGGCGGAGCAUGUGGAUUAAUUCGAUGCAACGCGAAGAACCUUACCUGGGUUUGACAUGCACAGGACGUGCCUAGAGAUAGGUAUUCCCUUGUGGCCUGUGUGCAGGUGGUGCAUGGCUGUCGUCAGCUCGUGUCGUGAGAUGUUGGGUUAAGUCCCGCAACGAGCGCAACCCUUGUCUCAUGUUGCCAGCGGGUAAUGCCGGGGACUCGUGAGGGACUGCCGGGGUCAACUCGGAGGAAGGUGGGGAUGACGUCAAGUCAUCAUGCCCCUUAUGUCCAGGGCUUCACACAUGCUACAAUGGCCGGUACAAAGGGCUGCGAAGCCGUGAGGUGGAGCGAAUCCUUUAAAGCCGGUCUCAGUUCGGAUCGGGGUCUGCAACUCGACCCCGUGAAGUUGGAGUCGCUAGUAAU